rnacentral:rRNA from 1 species
GAUAGAAGCUUUGAGAGCUUGCUCGAGAAGUGGAAAGAGAAGGACGUGGAAUUUCCACCUAGUGGCAAACGGGUGAGUAACACGUGGGUUACCUACCUCUUAGAUGGGGAUACCAAUUGGAAACGAUUGUUAAUACCGAAUGUGAUCUACGGAUUAAAGGAAGCCUUUAAAGCUUCGCUAAGAGAUGGGCCUGCGGUGCAUUAGAUAGUUGGUGGGGUAAGAGCCUACCAAGUCAACGAUGCAUAGCUGAACUGAGAGGUUGAUCGGCCACACUGGGACUGAGACACGGCCCAGACUCCUACGGGAGACAGCAGUUAGGAAUAUUCGUCAAUGGGGGAAACCCUGAACGAGCAAUGCCGCGUGAACGAUGACGGUCCUCUGGAUUGUAAAGUUCUGUUGUUUGGGAAGAACGGCUCUAAUAGGAAAUGAUUAGAGAUUGACUGUACCAUUCAAGAAAGCCACGGCUAACUACGUGCCAGCAGCCGCGGUAAUACGUAGGUGGCGAGCGUUAUCCGGAUUUAUUGGGCGUAAAGCGUCCGCAGCCGGUUUAUUAAGUAUAGAAUAAAA